rnacentral:rRNA from 1 species
AUUGAACGCUGGCGGCAGGCUUAACACAUGCAAGUCGAGCGGAGCGAGGGUGCUUGCACCUUGCUUAGCGGCGGACGGGUGAGUAAUGCUUAGGAAUCUGCCUAUUAGUGGGGGACAACAUUCCGAAAGGGAUGCUAAUACCGCAUACGCCCUACGGGGGAAAGCAGGGGAUCUUCGGACCUUGCGCUAAUAGAUGAGCCUAAGUCGGAUUAGCUAGUUGGUGGGGUAAAGGCCUACCAAGGCGACGAUCUGUAGCGGGUCUGAGAGGAUGAUCCGCCACACUGGGACUGAGACACGGCCCAGACUCCUACGGGAGGCAGCAGUGGGGAAUAUUGGACGAUGGGCGGAAGCCUGAUCCAGCCAUGCCGCGUGUGUGAAGAAGGCCUUUUGGUUGUAAAGCACUUUAAGCGAGGAGGAGGCUCUUAAGGUUAAUACCCUUGAUGAGUGGACGUUACUCGCAGAAUAAGCACCGGCUAACUCUGUGCCAGCCGCCGCCGUAACAC